CGCGUAGGUAAUCUACCCUUAUAUUUGGGAUAACAUCGGGAAACUGGUGCUAAUACCGAAUGGUCUUCAUUGCUUCAGGGCGAUGGAGUAAAGGUGGCCUCUUCAUGAAAGCUACCGUGUAGGGAUGAGCCUGCGUACCAUUAGCUAGUAGGUGGGGUAAUGGCCCACCUAGGCUACGAUGGUUAGCGGGUCUGAGAGGAUGAUCCGCCACACUGGAACUGGAACACGGACCAG
rnacentral:rRNA from 1 species